UACAGAGGUCUCAAGCGUUGUUCGGAUUCAUUGGGCGUAAAGGGUGCGUAGGUGGCAAGGUAAGUCGGGUGUGAAAUCCCGGGGCUCAACCCUGGAACUGCACUCGAUACUGCCAUGCUCGAGUACUGGAGAGGAGACUGGAAUUUACGGCGUAGCAGUGAAAUGCGUAGAUAUCGUAAGGAAGACCAGUGGCGAAGGCGAGUCUCUGGACAGUUACUGACACUGAGGCACGAAGGCCAGGGGAGCAAACGGG
rnacentral:rRNA from 1 species